UUUGUUAGCGCGAGAGAUUGAAGCUGCCAGCUUGAUCUAGUUGAGGAUCGACUUGCUGCUCUUGUUGGGUCUACUCCAUGGAGUUGAUCAGGUAUCAACCAGAGAUGAAGAAUGAGUGUUUCAAAGAAAUGAUUUCCUCUACUAGGUCAUCUGGCAGCUUCAAUCACUCGCUCACUAACAAUUGAAUGAUGUUCCAUUUCUUUUCCUCGACAGGAUUCUCUCACAGAACUAGCUAAACAAAGUUGCUAGGUCCUAAACUAUCUGAAACAAAGUGACUUCCUGUGAGAAAUUGAAGGUUUCAAGUUCUUAUAUCGGUGCGUACCUACUUUGUUCAUAUCUAAUUUACGCAGCUAUCGAUAAUUCUUCUGAACUAAUUCCAGGCAACCACAAAGCUUUUCUAGUGUGUGGAUAGUGUACAACAAAGAGGCAAUAUUGUUUCAUAUCCAUGAUUGUGCAACAAACAAGCAGAACUCAAUAUACAUGAGAGAGAGAAACCACAAAACUUGUUCAUGUAAUUUAAGGCUUCAGCUAAUGAGGAACCCACAUCUAUAGUCGAA